GCACGACCUUACUUGAACAGGAUCUGUUCUAUAGGCUCGUACCUCUGUAUUCUUGAUUCCUAAGAAGACAGAAACCCAUGUCUGGUUGAUGAGCCAUGACCAUGUAACCAGAGCGUGAUUAACAGAGCUUAUGGUCUUGACCAUGGCUCAGUAGAGGAUCGUUGCCAGCCCAUCUGAUGGGUUCUGGCAUGGUUACAUGGUUGUCUGACAGACAACUUCCCUUUUUUCCCUUUUUUGUGUUGAUUCGGUUCUUUAGUUUGCAAGGAUCAGUCCUCUUUUUGUCGUCCGCUCAACUCUUCUCUUCUAUUCGAUUUAGCAGUUCUUGUUAAGUGACAUGUUGGCUUACCAGAAACUUUAAAUAAGAAAUUCAAAGGGAUCGAAAGCGUCAUUUCAUGACUCUGUAAUGUCUUCUGAAUUCUAAGUGUAACAUAUACUAACAUGACAUAUGCAUAAGUUGAAGAACUGAAAUAUUUACAUAAGGAUAUAUGUCUACCUAAUACCUGCAUCUUGUGUUAUCAUGAUAAAUUGAUGAUACAAAAGCUGUUUUUCUAAUGAUCCAACUGCAGUUUUCAUGAGCUCAUCAACGGUGUAUGAACCAGGGGCGAUGCUUUGAAGGGGCCGGGAGGGGCGCCCGAUCCCCCGAACUUUUCGGCCAGUAGUGUUAUAUAUGUAGUUUUCGUAUAGAAAUUUUUGGGUAUAUAUGUUUUCGACCCCCCGGUUCUAUAGAAUUUUUUGGGUAUAUACGUUUUCGACCCUCCGGUAAAAAAUUUCAAGCUUCGCCACUCGUAUGAACCUCAUCAGUCACAGUGACUGGUGAUAUGGAGGCUUCUUAUCAUAAGAUACCUGCAGAUGCUCUUUGGGUUUCUUAGAAUCUGAUGGGUUCGUUGAUGGUGCUGUCUGUUCUCAGUCGAAGACGACCUGGUUCAGAUUGACGGUACGCAUCUAAAUCAGGUUGUCCCAUCACUGGUUUGCUUAACUUGGAGCCCUAUUAAAAUUAACUUCUUGUGGCGGGCACAGUUAAAUCGGCUCCCUAUGGAGAGGCACUUGCUAAAAGGGGGUGGUGGGUCAAUGUAGAUAGUCUGAAUUGUCCGUUAUGCAGGGGUGCUUAUGGAAACGCUAACCACAUCCUGUUGUCUUGCAUAUGUUGCAAAAGUAGUGUGAUCUUACAUAUGGUCAUGGUGCAAGCUUCCCAUUGCCUCUUUUGGAUCUUCUUGGGCUUCCAAAUCCGUGGUGUCAUCCACUGAUAGUGUGAAUGAUAUCGGCUUGGCACCAUGUCUUCCUUAUUAUGUUUUGUGUUUUGUUUGCCUUUCAUUUCAUGUCAGUUAAUUUAGUCAUAAUAGUUAAGUGUGUUAGUGGGUAGUACUAGUAGCAGUGGGUCUUUAUAUCAAUUCCUUGGUCUGUAGGCUAUAUAAUUAGCCAUGAAGUCUUUGUUUUAGAUCAUAAAUGAAAAGUUAUUAAUUGAAUCAGAAUUCCUCUCUUAUUUUC